GAUGAACGCUGACAGAAUGCUUAACACAUGCAAGUCUUUGGCGAAGCUGUGCUUGCACAGCCUAGCCAAGGCGGACGGGUGAGUAACGCGUAAGGAACUUGCCCUGCAGUCAGGGAUAACAGACGGAAACGACUGAUAAGACCUGGUAAAGUCAGGCGGACUCAUGUCCAGCCUGAUGAAAAGAGAUGCUGCAGGAGAGCCUUGCGUCCUAUUAGCUUGUUGGUGGGGUAACGGCCCACCAAGGCGAUGAUAGGUAGCCGGCCUGAGAGGGUGGACGGCCACAAGGGGACUGAGAUACGGCCCUUACUCCUACGGGAGGCAGCAGUGGGGAAUAUUGGACAAUGGGGGCAACCCUGAUCCAGCAAUUCUGUGUGCACGAUGAAGGUUUCGGAUUGUAAAGUGCUUUCAGCAGGGAAGAAAAAAAUGACGGUACCUGCAGAAGAAGCGACGGCUAAAUACGUG
rnacentral:rRNA from 1 species